CUUUGCAAGAAUAAAGACAAUUACACCUCCCGAAAGGCAGUGAGCUGACCUUUUUUUGUUAAGAACCCAUUGUAUAGUGUAGCAAUACUAUCAAUAAAAAUAUCGUCAGCGGCUACAUACCUCCCGCACUACCUAAUACCUGGUUUUCAUCCGCACCAGCUUUAGCUGACAAAGCUACUACUACUCGCUAGCUAGAAAAAUAAAUUAAGGAAAAGCUUUAUUUAAUACCUAUUUGAUCCCUUCACCUUUAUCUCCCCUGUAGGCUCGAAAUCAGCCACCAAUCCACCACGUUCUAGUAGUUUAUACAAGGAUAAUCCCAUCUGCCAAUUCUAUCAAAUGAAUAACUGCGUAAACCCCCCUCCGCAGUAAAACUAUGCAAAGAUUAGUAUUUCCCCCCCCAUAUUCAGAAAAGGAACUCGGCAAAACCUUAUUUCGACUGUUUAACAAAAACAUUGCCUGUAGACCCAACCACUAUAGGUAUACCCUGCCCAGUGAUAUAUUAAACGGCCGCGGUACCCUGACCGUGCAAAGGUAGCAUAAUCAUUUGCCUCCUAAUUAGAGGCUAGUAUGAACGGGUUAACGAAAAUAAAGCUGUCUCUUCAGUAUCCAUAAAACUUUUUCUCCAGGUGAAGAAACCUGGAUAUCUAUAAAAGACAAGAAGACCCUGCGAGCUUUAAUUCUAGUAGGCUAUGUCAGAACUUAUAGUACCAAACCACACCUACAACAACAUUUAUUGGGGCAAUAAUGGAGCACACAAAACCUCCUUCACACACAAGACAUCCCAUCUCUCUACAGAUCCCAUUCACGGACCAAAGGCACAAGCUACCGCAGGGAUAACAGACUAAUUUUCCUCCGGAGUCCAAAUCUACAGGAAAGCUUGGCACCUCGAUGUUGGCUUAAAGAUCUCUUUUAGAUGCAUCAGUCUAAAAAGUGGG
rnacentral:rRNA from 1 species